AAACUGAGCAAUAGCUUAGUUGGUAGAGCCUCAACUUGAGAGGUCAUCCACCCAGACUCGAACUCAGGUGCUCCACACAGGCUCGAACUCAGGUGCUCUCAGAUUGUAAUGAAAGCUUCUGACCAAGAUUGGAAGACAGCUGUCUGGUCAAGCAGGACUUGACCCAUCUCAGGCCAUUUGUAAUGAGCAAAUCGUCUUAAUAGCAAUCAGGGAAAUGUUUGGCAGGAUGGUUCAAUGCAUUGGAAUCUAUUGGUGGUGGACCUGGAGGACUUUAAGCGUUCUGGCGCAUCACUUAAUGCAUUUGAGUGUUUGGCGCAAAGGACUGCUGCCGAAUGAACAUCCUAACUGCUCACUGUGCAAAAUCUGUAUCGCAGGGAGUGCUGGAGCCGGACUAUUCAAAUGUUCUGCGUACCAGAUGGGCCAUCUUUUGGUCCCGGGAAAAAAUUGCCAUCUUUUGGUCUAUGUGCCAAAUCUGUAUCGCAGGGAGUGCUGGAGCUGGACUAUACAGAUGUUCUGCGUACCUUCCCUGCAACAAGGAGAAGAAUUUUGACAAGGGAAGAGAUUAUCUUUCUUCCAGCUCCAUGUUCUGUGCAGUAGACUCGUUUUUGGCAGCAAGGCAGAAGUUGGCUGUGGAGCGGUGGGAUCAUCCAGUGCUUUCUGAGAUGAAUGGAAUUCGAUGGUUGUUAAUUCGCAUAAUAUAGUGCGUACCUUUUAGUGGUAUUAUAAUGGUUGCUUCAGAAGCAAUGGUCCUGUGGUGUCCUUGGAAUGCUUUGGUGAGGCUCCAUGUUUUAUGAAAGGUUACUCCACUUUGUUGGUUCCUCGCUCUUCAAUGUGCAGACAUUGCGGUGCAGCAUCCAAAAUUGAGUACUUCAUUGCGUAGUUGUCUCCGGACAACGCUGCAGGAUCCAACAAUUAGAAUAUAAAUGAUGAGUGCGAGUACGCAGUAAGUGUGCUUACUGUGCAAAUCAAUGCGUGCUUUGUGCAGCGGAAGGGGAUUGAAUGAUUUGUUCAAGUGGUGGUACCUUAUUUUCCCUGGCAGCCUGGCACCAGCCUUCAGUUGUGCACAUGAUUGAUGUGUCGUGUGUGUGUGAUAUCAGUCUUAUUGAAAAGAAGCGGAAUUGUCAUUUGUAUCGGGUCAACACAUGUCUCCAGCAACAGCAGCUAAUCAUUUGUGAAGGCAAACCUGGAUACCACGAAUUCCAGUUUACUCAUUUUCUCAUUUUUUUCGUUAUUGGGAUUGGUCUCGAUGUCUCGUGCAUAGAUUCUAAUGAUAACGCAAGCGUUUUGACUGGAUGCAAUGUUAUUGGCUGAAAUGAGGAAUGUGUGAGUUCGUCUUGCUA